rnacentral:rRNA from 1 species
GAGACUCUGUGCGCGUGCAUAUCAAUAAGCGGAGGAAAAGAAACUAACUAAGGAUUCCCUUAGUAACUGACGAGUGAAGCGGGAAGAGCUCAAAUUUGAAAUCUUCAAGGUUCUACCUUGACGAAUUGUAGUUUAUAGAAGUGUUUUCUGUUAGUAAGUUGGCUAAAAGUUCUUUGGAAUAGGACAUCAUAGAGGGUGAGAAUCCCGUAUUUGUACCAUUCUUUUCUAGCUGUGUGAUACACUUUCAACGAGUCGGAUUGUUUGGGAAUGCAGUCCAAAAUGGGUGGUGAAUUUCAUCUAAAGCUAAAUAUUGGCGAGAGACCGAUAGCGAACAAGUACCGUGAGGGAAAGAUGAAAAGAACUUUGAAAAGAGAGUUAAACAGUACGUGAAAUUGUCAAAAGGGAAGCGUUUGACACCAGUGUUGUUUUCUCGAAAAUCAAUUAAAAAUGGCCGGAUUUUGUGUUGUAUUGACUUUAUCAGCUUUCUGCACUUUUUUCCUAUCUUUUUUAAUGCACUUUUCGUUUAACAAGUCAACAUCAAUUUCUUUUGCUGUAAAAGAGUCAUUGGAAGGUGGCUUUCUUUUCGGAGAAAGUGUUUAUAGCCUUUGACUUCUGCAGUCGGAGAGAUUGAGGUCUGCAGCGUAGAUCCUUCGGGGUUAGAUACAUUUGUGCUAAGCUAUAGCCUUUCAUAGACAACUUGUUGACUAUGAUCAGUCAUGUAGCUUACUCGCUUAUGCUAUUUUACCUACGCUUAGGAUGUUGAAGUCAUCGUAUCGCGC